UGCUCCUCACAAUGGUACCUUCUCCAUUCUUUAUUGGUGAGAGUCACACCAGCAUCCUGAUGUUUUCUAAUCAGCCACGAAGCUGCAAAGAACGUUUUGGAAAAUAAUGAACAUCUUGUCACAGCCUUGCUCAAAAUGGGAGAAAAACGCCAACAAUAAUUCACCCUUGUUGCUUACUUGGAAUCAAGUCCACCCAGUGAGACUCAUUCCCAGAGAGACAACACCUGGAGUAUGGUGUAUGAUUCUGGGCAACUUAUUCCCAGCAGAAUAUUGAAGGUUGGAGAAGGUUCAGAAGAAGGCAACGAACAUAUACAGGUAAUCAUGUCAUCAGGUAAGAUAGCCAAGAACUGUUUUCCAUGACCACAAAAAGUAAAACCAGAAAUAAAGGGCAUGAGUU